UACGUAGGGGGCAAGCGUUAUCCGGAUUUACUGGGUGUAAAGGGAGCGUAGGUGGCAUGGCAAGCCAGAAGUGAAAACCCGGGGCUUAACCCCGCGGAUUGCUUUUGGAACCGUCAGGCUGGAGUGCAGGAGGGGCAGGCGGAAUUCCUGGUGUAGCGGUGAAAUGCGUAGAUAUCAGGAGGAACACCGGUGGCGAAGGCGGCCUGCUGGACUGUAACUGACACUGAGGCUCGAAAGCGUGGGGAGCAAACAGG
rnacentral:rRNA from 1 species